UCCAGACUCCUACGGGAGGCAGCAGUGGGGAAUAUUGCACAAUGGGGGAAACCCUGAUGCAGCGACGCCGCGUGAAGGAAGAAGUAUUUCGGUAUGUAAACUUCUAUCAGCAGGGAAGAAAAUGACGGUACCUGACUAAGAAGCCCCGGCUAACUACGUGCCAGCAGCCGCGGUAAUACGUAGGGGGCAAGCGUUAUCCGGAUUUACUGGGUGUAAAGGGAGCGUAGGCGGUGCAGCAAGUCAGAAGUGAAAGCCCGGGGCUCAACUCCGGGACUGCUUUUGAAACUGUUGAACUAGAUUGCAGGAGAGGUAAGUGGAAUUCCUAGUGUAGCGGUGAACUGCGUAGAUAUUAGGAGGAACACCAGUGGCGAAGGCGGCUUACUGGACUGUAAAUGACGCUGAGGCUCGAAAGCGUGGGGAGCAAACAGGAUUAGAUACCCCAGUAAG
rnacentral:rRNA from 1 species